UCUCCAGAGCGCAAGCUGGAACUGGCUGGAACUGACGGGCACUGCGAGCCCAGAGCACCUCCGUAGCUGAGUGCACCACGCACCCCUACCACACCCACACCCACGGCCGCUGAAUGAGUCUUCCAGGUGCUCGCUUGCUGCCCGCAGCGCCCCGCCGGAGGUCCGCUCGCUGAGGGCGGCUGGUGCGCCGGCAGCCUGUGCGCUCACCUGCCAGCCUGCGCGCCAUGGGGCAGCCCGGGAACCGCAGCGUCUUUUUGCUGGCGCCCAACGCAAGCCACGCGCCAGACCAAGACGUCACGCUGGAGCGGGACGAGGCCUGGGUGGUGGGCAUGGGCAUCCUCAUGUCGCUUAUUGUCCUGGCUAUCGUGUUUGGAAACGUGCUGGUCAUCACAGCCAUUGCCAAGUUUGAGCGUCUGCAGACGGUCACCAACUACUUCAUCACCUCCCUGGCCUGUGCUGACCUGGUCAUGGGCCUGGCAGUGGUGCCCUUUGGGGCCUGCCACAUCCUCAUGAAAAUGUGGACUUUUGGCAACUUCUGGUGUGAGUUUUGGACUUCCAUUGACGUGUUGUGCGUCACGGCCAGCAUUGAGACCCUGUGCGUGAUCGCUGUGGAUCGCUACUUUGCCAUCACGUCACCCUUCAAGUAUCAGUGCCUGCUGACCAAGAAUAAGGCCCGGGUGGUCAUUCUGAUGGUUUGGAUCGUGUCUGGCCUUACCUCCUUCUUACCCAUUCAGAUGCACUGGUACCGAGCCAGCCACAAGGAAGCCAUCAGCUGCUAUGCUAAGGAAACCUGCUGUGACUUCUUCACGAACCAGCCCUACGCCAUUGCCUCCUCCAUUGUGUCCUUCUACCUGCCCCUGGUGGUCAUGGUGUUCGUCUACUCCAGGGUGUUCCAGGUAGCCAAAAGGCAGCUCCAGAAGAUCGACAGAUCCGAGGGCCGCUUCCACGCCCAAAACAUCAGUUCAGCGGAGCAGGAUGGGCGGAGCGGUCUAGGACAACGCAGGACCUCCAAGUUCUACUUGAAGGAACACAAAGCCCUCAAGACUUUAGGCAUUAUCAUGGGCACUUUCACCCUGUGCUGGCUGCCCUUCUUCAUUGUCAACAUCGUGCACGUGAUCCAGGAUAACCUCAUCCCUAAGGAAAUUUACAUCCUUCUAAACUGGUUGGGCUACAUCAACUCCGCUUUCAAUCCCCUUAUCUACUGCCGCAGCCCAGAUUUCAGGAUUGCCUUCCAGGAGCUUCUCUGCCUGCGCAGGUCUUCAUUGAAGGCCUAUGGGAAUGGCUGCUCCAGCAACAGCAAUGACAGGACUGACUACACAGGGGAACAGAGUGGAUAUCACCUGGGGGAGGAGAAAGACAGUGAACUGCUGUGUGAAGACCCCCCAGGCACGGAAGACUUUGUGAACCAGCAAGGACCAUGCCACAGGAAUGAUAUCCAACAAAAGACGAGUUCAUGCUUGGGCUCAAGUACUGGAUCAGGAACCAGGAACCCCUAAAUAACUCAUGAACACAGAAGCAGAAGUUACAAAAUAGUUGCCCACAACUGGGAUCUGACUCACAGGUGACCACUUGGCCACUUUGUUCCAUCCA